AAGGUACUUGGAGAGAAGGUGGGGGGAGAGCAGAGGGAGUGUAGGUGUGUUCAUGCUUUGUUUCAGGUGUGUUCACCUGAUAGAGUGACUGGAGAUUGUCAGAGAGAAGCCCUAAUGGAAAUAUAUCCUGCAGGUGAGGCAAGGAGGUAGUUUUGGCUGUCCUAGGCCUCUGACAUAGUUUUGAGGAAAACAGCAGAGCCAGGCUUCUCUUGAAAGAGGAGGAAGGUGAUGGAAGCCAUCACUUCACCAAUAGUGGAGGAAGAUGGAGGUACAGAGCGACAAGGAUGGAAAGAAGGAGUUCCGUGUGUUUUCCCACUGCAGCAACCAGACAGAUGUUCAACAGCCGGGUUGGAUCUUGCUCCCCCUGUUCCCAAAGAAGCUUUCCUGGAGGCCUGUCUCGAGGCAACUGUGUCCCUUCUGCUCUGUUCAGCACUUUUUGGGAGCUUCAUAAUUUCUUGAAAGGGUGGGAAGAUAUCUAUGGCUUACGCAGAUGGUGUAGUCAUAUCUUCAUCUUGCUCCAACUAAAAUCAACAGAAGAAUUAAAACCACUUGUAGCCACGACAAGAUCUGAAUGUGAUACACACCUAAACCCUUCAGCAAAAUGUACCUUAGGGACUGCUGCUGGCUACACCGCAAGAAUUCUCCUUGAAGAGGAGGCUUCAGCAUCUGCUCUGGGACUGCCCAGUUUUAGUGGAUGUCUCUGGGAUGCUGCUUUGGCUCAAGCUCCAACAAUGAGCAGAGAAGAGCCAAGGUGGGACGCUCACUGGGCAACAAGUUGCUGUGGCUCUCAGCCUGGCAUGGGCUGGUCUGUCUGGGCACAGACGUUUUGGACACUAAGUCCAAGAGGGCUUCAGACCUUUGUCUGACAGAAACUUCUUGGGCUUCGUCUGUGCCACUGGGAAGUGACUGCCUGUAAGGUUUCUGAACUUGUAUGUUAAAGCAGAGAUCAGAGCUUCCAGCUAUUCUCUACAAGCCCAAGAGCAUGAUGUAUUUUAACUUAGCGGGGGGUUUGUCACAACCAUACACUUUGAAGACCUGAUGUCUCAAGUAAAGUAUCAGCUAGUAUAAAAC
rnacentral:lncRNA from 7 species